GGUUAGGUCCUAGUUGUAAUCCCAGGCUGAUGGCCUGAGAAGAAGACACAACAGGAAAAGCUGCAUCUUAAAAAAACAAAGGCCACAGGAGGUUUUAUUUCAGGCAACAACCUGGCUCUGCAGUUUUGUACCAAGUACAUCUUGCAAGGGCUCUGGUGUGAGCCUGAACCCUGCACAGCACGGGCUUAUUCAGAGGCUUUGGAGAUUUCUUUGUUAUCCUGGGAACAAGGAAGAGAUUCAUUCAUUCAUUACAGGGUAUCUCCUGAAGAGACACAUAAAAGGCACUCCAAGGAGUCAGACUAAAGUCACCUCUGCAGCAAAUGGAAAAUUCCAACAAUUUUCAGUUGUGUUGAGUUCAGUGAAAACCUUGGACAGGCCAGACACUACCAGAGGGACCAGUCAGACCAUGCCAGCUGUGCUGGGACACAGUGCUGCCCAUUCAGGCAAUUAACUAAUUAGGGGACACCUGCAGAUGUCUGGGGACACCACACGGUCUGUUGUGGAUUGCCAGGGCUCUCUGGGGUUUUGCUGCAGACAUCAGUGCAGUAUUGCAGGACAAGGUGGCUCUUUUGCUGUGGGGUCAGCUGUGUAGUGGAGCUCAGCAGCAGUGCCAGCAGGCUUAGAGUGGCCCUGGUUCUGAGAGGUGUGAAGUUGGCCCCAGGUUCAUGUUGUGGUGGCCUGAUAAGCCAAAGGGACGCUUUGACGCCACUGCAGGCACUGAAAAUAUGAGUCAAAGGGCUGAUGCUGCUCCAGGUAGUUGCAGCUGCAUUUGCAUGGGUUGUAUCCUGAGAUUGAAGCUGAUUUUGUGGGAGAAAACCCAAAAGCUGCCAGUCUUUUAGCUAGGAUUGAUUGCAUCUUGCUAAAAGGUGAGUGAUAAUAGGAACUGCCUGUGCUGACAGCAGUCAGCAAUUUGGUGAUCACUGAGAACAGCACUGCAAGACAGAUAUUCAAUUCCUACCUACUUCAGAAGGGAAAAACAACCUGAACUUGCUGUAACAGUGUCCAGUGACAGCAGCUGCUUUCUCCUCCCUGAUCAGGGUGUCUGUGAGCCUCUGAUGGGCUAUAACCAGCUCACACAAACCACAGGGCUGUGCAGGGUGGAAAGGACCCCCAGAGAUCCCAGUUCCAGUCCCUGUGCCAUGGGCAGGACUGGUGCUGAGGGGUAAUGGGGAUGCUCAAAUCACCACCUGGCCUGGGCACUCAUUUUUUGGAGUCACCUCACACUAAACAUUGCCCUUGGGGUUCCCUGCCCUGCUGCUCUCUGGGCUCUUCCCCCUGUGCCCUCAAGCUUUCUGUGGCUUUGGAAGGCAGAAAGAUUGAUGGCACUGCUGUAAUUAGGGUGAUGCCAGCCCAGAUUAAAUGACUUCCCUGAUUUGCAUGUGUGGUACAAUCACCAUCUUGCCUCCAAAGCUGAUGGAGAAGCUGGGCUGUGCUGGGAGGGAGGG